rnacentral:miRNA from 1 species
GAUGGACAGGGUAUGGGAG